rnacentral:lncRNA from 1 species
AGAUUUCUUCUGAUGAAGAGCUUCAGCUAUGAUAUGAGAUCUGGGAAUCUCCUCCAAUCCACUAAAGGGUAUUUUGUCAAAUACAGACAUACCCAAGAGAUGAGCAUACUCCUCUAACAUAGGCACAAGCUGGUAAUCAGGAAAAGUGAAGCAUCGGUACAGAGGGUCAUAGAACUGAACCAAAACGCUUAAAAGUCCUUCAACCACAU